rnacentral:tRNA from 1 species
UUCCCUGUGGCUCAGAUGGUAAAAGCGUCUGCCUACAAUGUAGGAGACCUGGGUUUGAUCCCUGGUUGGGAAG